GAUGAACGCUGGCGGCGUGCCUAAUACAUGCAAGUCGAACGAAACUUCUUUAUCACCGAGUGCUUGCACUCACCGAUAAAGAGUUGAGUGGCGAACGGGUGAGUAACACGUGGGCAACCUGCCUACAAGAGGCGGAUAACACUUGGGGACAGGUGCUAAUACCGCAUAACCAUAGUUACCGCAUGGUAACUAUGUAAAAGGUGGCUAUACUACCGCUUUUGGAUGGGCGCGCGGCGCAUUAGCUAGUUGGUAGGGUAAAGGCUUACCAAGGCAGUGAUGCGUUGCCGAAGUGAGAGGUGGAUCGGCCACAUUGGGACUGAGACACGGACCAAACGCCUACGGGAGGCAGCAGUAGGGAAUCUGACACAGUGGGCGAAAGCCUGAUGGAGCGACGCCGCGUGUGUGAAGAAGGUCUUCGGAUCGUAAAACCCUGUUGUUAGAGAAGAAAGUGCGUGGGAGUAACUGUUCACGUUUCGACGGUAACUAAUCAGAAAGCCCCGGCUAACUACGUG
rnacentral:rRNA from 1 species